rnacentral:sRNA from 1 species
UCAUUUGUUAAUCUACUAUAAUUUGUGC